rnacentral:rRNA from 1 species
GCCUACGGGGCGCAGCAGUUAGGAAUAUUCGUCAAUGGGGGAAACCCUGAACGAGCAAUGCCGCGUGAAGGAUGACGGUCCUAUGGAUUGUAAACUCUGUUGGUAGAGAAGAACGUUGGUGAGAGUGGAAAGCUCAUCAAGUGACGGUAACUACCCAGAAAGGGACGGCUAACUACGUGCCAGCAGCCGCGGUAAUACGUAGGUCCCGAGCGUUGUCCGGAUUUAUUGGGCGUAAAGCGAGCGCAGGUGGUUUAUUAAGUCUGGUGUAAAAGGCAGUGGCUCAACCAUUGUAUGCAUUGGAAACU